rnacentral:rRNA from 1 species
UACAGAGGUGGCAAGCGUUGUUCGGAAUUACUGGGCGUAAAGGGCGCGUAGGCGGUGCUCUAAGUCCCGUGUGAAAUCCCCCGGCUCAACUGGGGAAUGGCACGGGAAACUGGAGUGCUUGAGUCCGGAAGAGGCGAGUGGAAUUCCAGGUGUAGCGGUGAAAUGCGUAGAUAUCUGGAGGAACACCCGUGGUGCAGACGGCUUGCUGGACCAUGACUGACGCUGAGGCACGAAAGCGUGGGUAGCAAACAGG